rnacentral:rRNA from 1 species
GAGUAACACGUGGGUAACCUGCCCAGAAGUAGGGGAUAACACCUGGAAACAGAUGCUAAUACCGUAUAACAGAGAAAACCGCAUGGUUUUCUUUUAAAAGAUGGCUCUGCUAUCACUUCUGGAUGGACCCGCGGCGUAUUAGCUAGUUGGUGAGGUAAAGGCUCACCAAGGCAGUGAUACGUAGCCGACCUGAGAGGGUAAUCGGCCACAUUGGGACUGAGACACGGCCCAGACUCCUACGGGAGGCAGCAGUAGGGAAUCUUCCACAAUGGACGCAAGUCUGAUGGAGCAACGCCGCGUGAGUGAAGAAGGGUUUCGGCUCGUAAAGCUCUGUUGUUAAAGAAGAACGUGGGUAAGAGUAACUGUUUACCCAGUGACGGUAUUUAACCAGAAAGCCACGGCUAACUACGUGCCAGCAGCCGCGGUAAUACGUAGGUGGCAAGCGUUAUCCGGAUUUAUUGGGCGUAAAGCGAGCGCAGGCGGUCUUUUAAGUCUAAUGUGAAAGCCUUCGGCUCAACCGAAGAAGUGCAUUGGAAACUGGGAGACUUGAGUGCAGAAGAGGACAGUGGAACUCCAUGUGUAGCGGUGAAAUGCGUAGAUAUAUGGAAGAACACCAGUGGCGAAGGCGGCUGUCUGGUCUGCAACUGACGCUGAGGCUCGAAAGCAUGGGUAGCGAACAGGAUUAGAUACCCUGGUAGUCCAUGCCGUAAACGAUGAUUACUAAGUGUUGGAGGGUUUCCGCCCUUCAGUGCUGCAGCUAACGCAUUAAGUAAUCCGCCUGGGGAGUACGACCGCAAGGUUGAAACUCAAAAGAAUUGACGGGGGCCCGCACAAGCGGUGGAGCAUGUGGUUUAAUUCGAAGCUACGCGAAGAACCUUACCAGGUCUUGACAUCUUCUGACAGUCUAAGAGAUUAGAGGUUCCCUUCGGGGACAGAAUGACAGGUGGUGCAUGGUUGUCGUCAGCUCGUGUCGUGAGAUGUUGGGUUAAGUCCCGCAACGAGCGCAACCCUUAUUACUAGUUGCCAGCAUUAAGUUGGGCACUCUAGUGAGACUGCCGGUGACAAACCGGAGGAAGGUGGGGACGACGUCAAAUCAUCAUGCCCCUUAUGACCUGGGCUACACACGUGCUACAAUGGAUGGUACAACGAGUCGCGAGACCGCGAGGUUAAGCUAAUCUCUUAAAACCAUUCUCAGUUCGGACUGUAGGCUGCAACUCGCCUACACGAAGUCGGAAUCGCUAGUAAUCGCGGAUCAGCAUGCCGCGGUGAAUACGUUCCCGGGCCUUGU